rnacentral:rRNA from 1 species
AACGAACGCUGGCGGCAGGCCUAACACAUGCAAGUCGAGCGCCCCGCAAGGGGAGCGGCGGACGGGUGAGUAACGCGUGGGAACGUACCCUUUGCUACGGAAUAGCCUCGGGAAACUGGGAGUAAUACCGUAUGUGUCCUUCGGGAGAAAGAUUUAUCGGCAAGGGAUCGGCCCGCGUUGGAUUAGGUAGUUGGUGGGGUAAUGGCCUACCAAGCCGACGAUCCAUAGCUGGUUUGAGAGGAUGAUCAGCCACACUGGGACUGAGACACGGCCCAGACUCCCACGGGAGGCAGCAGUGGGGAAUCUUAGACAAUGGGCGCAAGCCUGAUCUAGCCAUGCCGCGUGAGCGAUGAAGGCCUUAGGGUUGUAAAGCUCUUUCAGGGGGGAAGAUAAUGACUGUACCCCCAGAAGAAGCCCCGGCUAACUCCGUG